rnacentral:tRNA from 1 species
CAGGACAUAACUUAAUAGUGAAGUGAUUCAUUUACACUGAAUUUAAUUCUGUGCAAUUCAGGAUGUCUUGA